rnacentral:rRNA from 1 species
GAUGAACGCUGGCGGUAGGCCUAACACAUGCGAGUCGAACGGCAGCACAGUAAGAGCUUGCUCUUACGGGUGGCGAGUGGCGGACGGGUGAGGAAUACAUCGGAAUCUACUUUUUCGUGGGGGAUAACGUAGGGAAACUUACGCUAAUACCGCAUACGACCUACGGGUGAAAGCAGGGGAUCUUCGGACCUUGCGCGAUUGAAUGAGCCGAUGUCGGAUUAGCUAGUUGGCGGGGUAAAGGCCCACCAAGGCGACGAUCCGUAGCUGGUCUGAGAGGAUGAUCAGCCACACUGGAACUGAGACACGGUCCAGACUCCUACGGGAGGCAGCAGUGGGGAAUAUUGGACAAUGGGCGCAAGCCUGAUCCAGCCAUACCGCGUGGGUGAAGAAGGCCUUCGGGUUGUAAAGCCCUUUUGUUGGGAAAGAAAAGCAGCAGGUUAAUACCCCGCUGUUCUGACGGUACCCAAAGAAUAAGCACCGGCUAACUUCGUG